rnacentral:rRNA from 1 species
AUACGGAGGGGGUUAGCGUUGUUCGGAAUUACUGGGCGUAAAGCGUACGUAGGCGGAUCGGAAAGUAAGGGGUGAAAUCCCAGGGCUCAACCCUGGAACUGCCUCUUAAACUACCGGUCUUGAGUUCGAGAGAGGUGAGUGGAAUUCCUAGUGUAGAGGUGAAAUUCGUAGAUAUUAGGAGGAACACCAGUGGCGAAGGCGGCUCACUGGCUCGAUACUGACGCUGAGGUACGAAAGUGUGGGUAGCAAACGGGAUUAGAUACCCUAGUAGUCC